rnacentral:miRNA from 1 species
UUGCCCAGCUCCCAUGCAAAAGCUAGCUUCAAGGCAGAAGGUGCCUGUAUUCCCAGCUCUGGGGAGGCGGAGGCAGGAGGAU